CAGUAGCGUAUAUUUAAGUUGUUGCAGUUAAAAAGCUCGUAGUUGGAUUUCGGUUAAGAGCGACCGGUCCGCCGUUUGGUGUGCACUGGUUGGUUUUAACUUCCUGUAGAGGACGUGCUCUGGGUUUAACGACCUGGACUCGGAGUCUACGUGGUUACUUUGAAAAAAUUAGAGUGUUCAAAGCGGGCUUACGCUUGAAUAUUUCAGCAUGGAAUAACACUAUAGGACUCCUGUCCUAUUUCGUUGGUCUCGGGACGGGAGUAAUGAUUAAGAGGAACAGUUGGGGGCAUUCGUAUUUCAUUGUCAGAGGUGAAAUUCUUGGAUUUAUGAAAGACGAACUUCUGCGAAAGCAUUUGCCAAGGAUGUUUUCAUUAA
rnacentral:rRNA from 1 species